rnacentral:rRNA from 1 species
GCGGACGGGUGAGUAACACGUGGGAACGUGCCUUUAGGUUCGGAAUAAGCCCGGGAAACUGGGUCUAAUACCGAAUGUGCCCUUCGGGGGAAAGAUUUAUCGCCUUUAGAGCGGCCCGCGUCUGAUUAGCUAGUUGGUGAGGUAAAGGCUCACCAAGGCGACGAUCAGUAGCUGGUCUGAGAGGAUGAUCAGCCACACUGGGACUGAGACACGGCCCAGACUCCUACGGGAGGCAGCAGUGGGGAAUCUUGCGCAAUGGGCGAAAGCCUGACGCAGCCAUGCCGCGUGAAUGAUGAAGGUCUUAGGAUUGUAAAAUUCUUUCACCGGGGACGAUAAUGACGGUACCCGGAGAAGAAGCCCCGGCUAACUUCGUGCCAGCAGCCGCGGUAAUACGAAGGGGGCUAGCGUUGCUCGGAAUUACUGGGCGUAAAGGGCGCGUAGGCGGAUCGUUUAGUCAGAGGUGAAAUCCCAGGGCUCAACCCUGGAAUUGCCUUUGAUACUGGCGAUCUUGAGUGUGAGAGAGGUAUGUGGAACUCCGAGUGUAGAGGUGAAAUUCGUAGAUAUUCGGAAGAACACCAGUGGCGAAGGCGACAUACUGG